GACGAACGCUGGCGGCGUGCUUAACACAUGCAAGUCGAACGGAAAGGCCCUGCUUGCCGGGUACUCGAGUGGCGAACGGGUGAGUAACACGUGGGUGAUCUGCCCUGCACUUCGGGAUAAGCCUGGGAAACUGGGCCUAAUACCGGCUAGGAGCCAUUUUUAGUGUGAUGGUUGGAAAGUUUUUUCGGUGUAGGAUGAGCUCGCGGCCUAUCAGCUUGUUGGUGGGGUAAUUGCCUACCAAGGCGGCGAGGGGGAGCCGGCCUGAGAGGGUGGACGGCCACAGUGGGACUGAGAGACAGGCCGGACUCCGACGGGUGGCAGAAGGGGGGAAUGUUUCACAAUGGGAGGAAGCCUGAUGCAGGGACGCCGCGUGGGGGAUAACGGCCUUCGGGUUGUAAACACAUUUCGCUAGGGACGAAGCUUUGUGUGACGGUACCUAGAUAAGAAGCACCGGCUAACUACGUG
rnacentral:rRNA from 1 species